GUAUUAAGUUCUUUUAAUAGAUUUUCGAGAUACUGAAGUACGCGUACGUGAACUCCAAGACGAGGUCAACGAUCUUGAAAGUGAGGGAAGCGACGAGCAAAAAUUGAAGCAAAUCGAAGAUAAAAUAGGACGAAGAUGGCACAAUCAUUUCUAGCUCUACAGUCAGGGUAUUCACAGCCUAGCAUUCAGACAAAAGCAUCUCUUUUCGAAGAUUCGUCAAUGAGCUUCAUGCGGAGUUCUCCUAUGCUAUCUAGGGAGGGAUGAGAUAAAUAUCACAUUCAUAACAGCAUAAAUAGAUUAUUAUAUCCAAAUCGUGCGUUGCUUAAUGUUUGAUUUCCCGGAAUUUUUGCUGAACUAAAUAAUGUUAAACAAUAUCAAGUUUGAGUCUAAUGCUAAAUAUUAAGGAUUGUUUCGGUUUUCACACAUACGGGGAUACCAAUGUUAGUUUUAGUAUGAAUAAAUCGCUUUCAUGAUGAUUGCUAUGAACAUGUCUUAAAAAGAACAUGAGUUUGCAUCAAAUAUGCAUUAUUUCAUACAAAUAUAGUAAUGUUGUUGUAUUUUUCAUGAAGUCAUAUCUAAUUGUUCGCCAUACAAUGACCGGUUAUUUAUUACAUAGUGCUUUUUGUUGUUGCUGUCUUAUAAAUUGUAUAAAUCAGCAUUUAGUUGUAUACCGGGUGAAGUUCUAAAACGAUUCAUUUAAUUGUUUCAAAUGUCUUUCAACAAUUUUAAAUGCAUUGAUCUAUGGUGUUUAUAUAUGGUAUGAAUAUAUACAAUUCGUUACUUUUCAAUUCACUUGGAGGAUAUUCGAGACAUUAAAGAAGUCUCAAUGACACGAUUCCGAAGCAAUCAGAAAAUUGAGAAUAAGGUUUACGCUGAAAGCAACAAUGAUGCGUUUCCGGUCAUUGGUUCCCGCGUGCGCCGUGGACCCGACUGGACGUGGGAUAACCAAGAUCCAUGAUUGGCGUGGAACCGUCGUCGGUCACUCAGAAGACGAUUAUAAAGUAUGGGUCACAUGGGAUUUUGAUAACAUUACUACCGAUUAUUGGUAUGGACUGGGUGCAUAUGAAGUUCUUGUGACAGACGAAUCACGUGAGCUGAAACCAGGACAGAAAAUGGCGGUAGGCUGUCGGGUCAAACCAGGUCGAGAUGCUAGAAUGCUGGAUGCCAUAUGGAGCGACAUUUCCAUUUCCACCCAAGGUGUGGUUAUACGAAAGAACUCACCAAAGGCACACGUGCGUUGGGACAAUGGCAAACGUGGUGAUUACAGCUAUGGAAAAGAUGGUCGAUAUGAAAUAGAACUAUGGAAACUGUGCUUGUGAAACUGCCGGGUGGGUGGGGAGAGAAAUGUUCAUUUCGGAAGUGUUGACAGAAGUGCAUGAAACAGACUGAGUUGCAGUAGAACAUGUUGCCAAAAGGCAGUCACGUGAUAGGGAAAAUCUGGACCACUGCUUCAGGAAGAUAGAGUAUGGGUACUUUGCUCUUUGAAGUUUCCGUCAAUGCUUUCCACGAUGCUACGCAAUGUGACAGGCUCGUAUUCAUCAUCAUCAUUCUUGCGAAUGGAGAGCAGAUAUGUGACAAGAUAUUCAUCUAGAUGGUCGACUGAUAAAUUGUGGAUUGCCUUCGUUUUCGCCUUUCUUGGCAAGAUAUUUUUGAAAUGGACUGACAUCUGCCAGUGUUUUCCGGAUAGUGUUUUUGUUAUCUUCGGCUUCAAUUAAUAUUUGUACAUCUUCAGUUGUUAUUUCUAUGGCGUCUGAUAUGUUUUCACUGUUCUCAGUUUUUGAUUUUGUUUCAGGUAAGGGAUUCUAAAUAACUUUUAUUUAAAUUGACAUUUGCAUUCGUGAUUUCAUCAAAUGGUUCAUUAAACACAUUCGGAUUUAUUCCAAACUGAUUGGCAAAGUCUUCCUCAGACAUAACAACUUCCUCCAUUAAACCGUCCCAAACAAUGUCAAACUUACCUCCAUCCACAAAGUCUGACACGGUAAUGUUUAUUUAUUGUAUUUAUAUAUGUUUGUUUAUGUUUAAGUCCUUAUUUUCAAAAGAAAUUAGCUUUUAACGAGCCUUAUCGAACACAAUUCAUGUGGCAAAAUUGGCAAACUGUAGAAGACGACAAAUGUAACCUUAAUAAUAAUUUAUGAUUUAAAAUUAUUUCAUUAUUAAAUGCAUAUUACACUGGGUUUUUUAUUGUAAUGUGUUACUAUUUUAUUUUUUACUAUUUUUACUGCUUUUUUAUUGUUUGUUUUAUUUGUUUGGUCUGUUUAUAUUAAGUGCUGAACGUUUGACAAACCUUUGACCUUUGAUGUUUGCAUAUGAAGGCCUGUCAAAAAAGUAGUCCGUUUGUUACAUGACGUCAUCAGCAUGUACUUAUUCAUUCUUAAUAUUUGUAAAAUACCUUUUUUUCUGUUUUUGUUGUUGUUUGUGGAUUAAAUGUAAUACAUA